rnacentral:sRNA from 1 species
UAAUUGCGUGAGUGAUUGCAGCGGAAAUCCUCUUUGUUCUCGUUUCUAAGAACGAGAACAAAGAGAUUGAGAGCGUAAAGCACGACCCUUG